rnacentral:rRNA from 1 species
GACGAACGCUGGCGGCGUGCCUAAUACAUGCAAGUAGAACGCUGAAGGAGGAGCUUGCUUCUCUGGAUGAGUUGCGAACGGGUGAGUAACGCGUAGGUAACCUGCCUGGUAGCGGGGGAUAACUAUUGGAAACGAUAGCUAAUACCGCAUAAUAGUAGAUGUCGCAUGACAUUUGCUUAAAAGGUGCAAUUACAUCACUACCAGAUGGACCUGCGUUGUAUUAGCUAGUUGGUGAGGUAACGGCUCACCAAGGCAACGAUACAUAGCCGACCUGAGAGGGUGAUCGGCCACACUGGGACUGAGACACGGCCCAGACUCCUACGGGAGGCAGCAGUAGGGAAUCUUCGGCAAUGGACGGAAGUCUGACCGAGCAACGCCGCGUGAGUGAAGAAGGUUUUCGGAUCGUAAAGCUCUGUUGUAAGAGAAGAACGAGUGUGAGAGUGGAAAGUUCACACUGUGACGGUAUCUUACCAGAAAGGGACGGCUAACUACGUG